CUGGGGGUGGAUCUGACUCAGUCCCAAAUGCUGUGCAAGAGAAGAUCCCAUAAACUGCUACCUUCCAAGACCAACUCAGGAUAUCUGAAUACCUGGUCCUGCAAUCCUUAUGAGAAAGGUCCUUAAUUACAUGAGUAGCCCAACUGAAAUCAGUGGAACUACUUGGGCAUGAGGACUACUCCUACUUUUUUGCAUCGGAGCUGAAAGAAACUGCAGAAAAGCAUUGUGUCACCUUUGGACUUCAACUUGUCAAGAUGCAUUUAUUUCAGUGACAACUACAUGUGGUUAUUCUGAAGGAAGGCAGA